rnacentral:snRNA from 1 species
GUGCUCUCCUCGGCAGCACAUAUACUGAAGCUAUCACCAGCCAGAGGAGAUUGGCAUGGCCUCUGGGCAAAGGAUGACAUGAAGCAAACUCAUGAAGCAGUUCCUAUUUUU